AUUUUAUUAAGCAAUCUUAUAUCCAUAUUUAUAAGGUACAUUCAUUUAUAUUUUGCUUUUUUUUAAAUAAAGUCUUUCCAUAUUUUUUAUUAUUGAAGUAUAGUUGAUAUACAAUGUCAUAUUAGGUUUAGGUGUACAUGAUUCUACAAUUCUAUACAUUACUCAGUGCUUACCACAAGUGUAGUCACCAUCUGUUGUGUUUCCUAUGCUGUAUUUUUCAUCUCCAUGACUUACUUAUAACUGGAAGUUUGUACCUUUUAAUCCCCUUCACCUAUUUUGUCUGUCCCUCUCCCCUUCUUUGUCAGGUUUUGAUAUUACAUAUACACACAACAAGUUGGGUAGUGAUCCUGUCUUCUUUAUGUCUUGAAAAAAAUUGUGUAAGGUUUGUGUUACUUCUUCCUUGAAUGUUGAUAGAAUUCACUAGUGAAACUGUCUGGAAUUGAAGUUUUUUCUUGGAGAAACUUUUUAUGACAAAUUCAAAAAAUUUAAAGAUAUAGGGCUAUUAAGUUUCUAUUUCUACUUGUGUCAAUUUUGGUUAAGUUGGUUUUUUAAGAAAUAAGUGUAUUUCAUUCAGGUUGUCAAAUUUGUUGCUAUGAAGUUAUUCAUAGUUUUCUCUCAUUAUCCUUUUCAUAUCUGUAGGAUCUGUGAUGAUAACUCCCCUAUUCACCCCUGAUACUGGCAAUUUGUUUUUUCUUGAAGAACUUGGAAGAUACAGCUUUACCUGAAAGUCUUGGAUGGCUCUUCUUCAAGAAGCAACCAGGGCUACGGAGAAUGAUUUCUGGAGGGCAGGUCUCCCUCUGAAUUACAAACUGGUGAACCUAGAAGGGAAACUUCCUGCUACAAUAACACAGCAAGGCGAUGUGAUGAACACUUUUAUUUACAAAUAUAAUUAAAAGCUCUGACAGUUAUCAUG